UACGGAGGGUGCAAGCGUUGUCCGGAUUUAUUGGGUUUAAAGGGUGCGUAGGCGGCUGAUUAAGUCAGCGGUGAAAGACUCCGGCUUAACCGGGGCAGUGCCGUUGAUACUGGUCAGCUUGAGUGCUGCAGGGGUACAUGGAAUUGAUGGUGUAGCGGUGAAAUGCAUAGAUACCAUCAGGAACACCGAUAGCGAAGGCAUUGUACUGGGCAGCAACUGACGCUGAUGCA
rnacentral:rRNA from 1 species